GAUGAACGCUGGCGGCGUGCCUAAUACAUGCAAGUCGAGCGAACAGACGAGGAGCUUGCUCCUCUGACGUUAGCGGCGGACGGGUGAGUAACACGUGGAUAACCUACCUAUAAGACUGGGAUAACUUCGGGAAACCGGAGCUAAUACCGGAUAAUAUAUUGAACCGCAUGGUUCAAUAGUGAAAGACGGUUUUGCUGUCACUUAUAGAUGGAUCCGCGCCGCAUUAGCUAGUUGGUAAGGUAACGGCUUACCAAGGCGACGAUGCGUAGCCGACCUGAGAGGGUGAUCGGCCACACUGGAACUGAGACACGGUCCAGACUCCUACGGGAGGCAGCAGUAGGGAAUCUUCCGCAAUGGGCGAAAGCCUGACGGAGCAACGCCGCGUGAGUGAUGAAGGUCUUCGGAUCGUAAAACGCUGUUAUUAGGGAAGAACAAAUGUGUAAGUAACGAUGCACGUCUUGACGGUACCUAAUCAGAAAGCCACGGCUAACUACGU
rnacentral:rRNA from 1 species